UGUGGGGAAAGCAAAUUCAGAGACGUUGGGGAAGAUUGAGCAGGGGAGAACAGCCACACGUGAUAUUGCACGUGCACCAGCCACUUCGUGAGCUUUUUCUGUGUGCUUCAAAGUCUCAAUAAGACUCCUGUAAAUGGACACUUAAAGCUCAUUUCAUUGGUGUCAGCAGACUGGGGAUUUGUUGGCUACUAUACAUUUAUAUCUGUCUUUUUCUUACCAUUAUUUAUAUUUGGAAUAAUUUCAUUACAUUAUUUAUAUUCUGUUAUCAAUAAGUAUAAAACAAACUCAGUAACAGAUAUAUU